GGGGAUUUAGCUCAGUGGUAGAGCACUUGCCUAGCAAGUGGGUUCAGUCCCCA
rnacentral:tRNA from 1 species